AUAUAAACAAUUAUUGCGCAUCCUAUACAAUUAUGUGAUCCUUCUGUGCCAAGGGUAGACUUAUCGAUCUGAAGAAUGUAUUACGUCAUUUGACAACAUUGUCCCAAAAUCUGAAUUUAUACAAACUUUAUGAAUAAAACUGAAUGAGGAUACAUAAUAAGAAAAAGAGGAUACAAAUAAUCAGUCUCACGCAAGGGUACAAUCCUAAGUUAUGCCUCCAUGGUCGGUCCUUUUGUUUGAUUUCUUCUCAUCUUUAACUGACAACGUCUUCAGAUGCAAUUGUACUUUGAUCCUACUUUGACUCAAACAAACUCUUAAACUCCUUACUCGAAGGGACAUUAUUUUGCCAAAUGACGUAUACAUCCUACAAAUUUAACACAUAUAUAUGAUUGUCUUUUAUUGACCAAUUGGCCAAAUAGACACGAGGUAGACUUCUAAUGGGCCUAACACGCCUUGGGUGUUAGGUCGACUUAGUUCAAAAUACGCAAGAAAUCGGGAUUUGGUUUCUCUCUACGCUAGUUGACUAAGAGUGGCUUUUGAAAAACCGGAAACC
rnacentral:lncRNA from 1 species